UACGUAGGUGGCGAGCGUUACUCGGAAUUACUAGGUGUAAAGGGCAGGUAGGUGGCCUGAUAAGUUGGGAGUGAAAGCCUUACUAAAAGUAAGGAGGUCUUUCAAUACUGUCAGGCUUGAGUGUGGUAGGGGAAACCAGAAUUCCCGGUGUAGCGGUGAAAUGCGUAGAUAUCGGGAGGAAUACCGAUGGCUAAAGCGGGUUUCUAGGCCACAACUGACACUGAGCUGCGAAAGCGUAGGGAGCA
rnacentral:rRNA from 1 species